rnacentral:rRNA from 1 species
CUGAGAUCUUCUAUGUCCGUUAUCCCAUAGAUAUCAGAGACGAGUAACAGGAAGUAGCUUGCUACUUCGCUGACGAGCGGCGGACGGGUGAGUAAUGCCUGGGAAUAUGCCUUGAUGUGGGGGAUAACUAUUGGAAACGAUAGCUAAUACCGCAUAAUGCCUACGGGCCAAAGAGGGGGAUCUUCGGACCUCUCGCGUCAAGAUUAGCCCAGGUGGGAUUAGCUAGUUGGUGGGGUAAAGGCUCACCAAGGCGACGAUCCCUAGCUGGUCUGAGAGGAUGAUCAGCCACACUGGAACUGAGACACGGUCCAGACUCCUACGGGAGGCAGCAGUGGGGAAUAUUGCACAAUGGGGGAAACCCUGAUGCAGCCAUGCCGCGUGUAUGAAGAAGGCCUUCGGGUUGUAAAGUACUUUCAGCAGUGAGGAAGGUGGUAGUGUUAAUAGCACUAUCAUUUGACGUUAGCUGCAGAAGAAGCACCGGCUAACUCCGUGCCAGCAGCCGCGGUAAUACGGAGGGUGCGAGCGUUAAUCGGAAUUACUGGGCGUAAAGCGCAUGCAGGCGGUCUGUUAAGCAAGAUGUGAAAGCCCGGGGCUCAACCUCGGAACAGCAUUUUGAACUGGCAGACUAGAGUCUUGUAGAGGGGGGUAGAAUUUCAGGUGUAGCGGUGAAAUGCGUAGAGAUCUGAAGGAAUACCGGUGGCGAAGGCGGCCCCCUGGACAAAGACUGACGCUCAGAUGCGAAAGCGUGGGGAGCAAACAGGAUUAGAUACCCUGGUAGUCCACGCCGUAAACGAUGUCUACUUGGAGGUUGGUGUCUUGAACACUGGCUUUCGGAGCUAACGCGUUAAGUAGACCGCCUGGGGAGUACGGUCGCAAGAUUAAAACUCAAAUGAAUUGACGGGGGCCCGCACAAGCGGUGGAGCAUGUGGUUUAAUUCGAUGCAACGCGAAGAACCUUACCUACUCUUGACAUCCAGAGAAUUCGCUAGAGAUAGCUUAGUGGCUUUCGGGACCUCUGAAACACGUGGCUGCAAGGGCUGUCGUCAACCUCUCGCUUGUGAAAAUGUUGGGAUAAGUUCCCCUAACGAACCGCAACCCUUUUCCUUGUUUGGCCGGCAGUAAAGGGUUGGGACCUCCCCGGAAAACUGCCCGGUGAAUAACCCCGGAGGAAAGUCCGGGAGGAAGGGCGGGGCAACCUGGCCCCUUUCGAGUGGGGUUUUA